UACGAGGGGGGCGAGCGUUGUUCGGAAUUAUUGGGCGUAAAGAGCUCGUAGGCGGUCUGUCGCGUCUGCUGUGAAAACCUAGGGCUUAACUCUGGGCGUGCAGUGGGUACGGGCAGGCUAGAGUGCGGUAGGGGAGACUGGAAUUCCUGGUGUAGCGGUGAAAUGCGCAGAUAUCAGGAGGAACACCGGUGGCGAAGGCGGGUCUCUGGGCCGUAACUGACGCUGAGGAGCGAAAGCAUGGGGAGCGAACAGG
rnacentral:rRNA from 1 species